AUGAGCAACACUACCGUCGUACCUAGCACUGUGGGUCCGGGCCCAAACAGCGGGUCUGGUGGCAGUGGUGGUGGCAGAGGUGGCAGCACCGAGGUAAUCCAAGUAACUAACGUCUCCCCAAGUGCUAGCUCUGAGCAGAUGCGAACUCUCUUCGGUUUCCUAGGCAAGAUCGACAAACUGUACCUCUUCCUGCUGGAUGAUUCACUUUUGCCAGUCUCAUCUCAUGUCUGCUUUGUUAAAUUCCAUGAUCCAGACUCAGUAGCUGUGGCACAGCUUCUGACAAACACUGUAUUCAUUGACAGAGCUUUGACAGUUGUACCAUAUGCAGAAGGAGUUAUUCCUGAUGAGGCUAAGGCUUUGUCUCUGUUGGCACCAGCUAAUGUAGUGGCAGAUCUUCUGUCCAAUGGUGGACUUCUGCCUACUCCUAACCCACUUACCCAGAUUGCCGCUGUUUCACUGGCUAUUUUGGGGGCUCCUACUCUUGAUCCUGACCUUGCUGCACUUGGGCUUCCUGAAGCAAACUUGAAUUCUCAGUCUCUUGCAGCAGAUCAGUUGCUAAAGCUUAUGAGUACUGUUGAUCCCAAGUUGAAUCAUGAGGUAUUCGAUUUUACCAAGUCUGAAAUCAGAUGCCUCUAGUAAAGAAAUAAAGGAAGCUAUGAAAAGAGUACAAGAAGCACAGUCCGUAAUUUCUGCUGCUAUAGAACCAGUUAAGAAAGAAGAAAAAAAGAAGGCAUUCAAGAUCAAGAUCAGAUUCUAGGAGGAAGAGGACUCCCUCAUCUUCUAGACACAGGUGGUCAAGAAGCAGAUCGAGACAGCAAUCACAUUCUAAGUCUAAGAGUUGGCGACAGUCCAAAAGCCCAUGGCGGAGAAGAUCUCAUUCCAGAGAGAGGGGUAGAAGGUCAGGAGCAUAUCAAAAACGAGAGACAAAAAGAAAGAAGACAAAGAAAAGAAACGUUCAAAAACACCACCAAAAAGUUACAGCACAGCCAGACAUUCUAGAAGUGCAAGCAGAGAGACGACAAUGCAGAAGCAGAAGUGGAACAAGAUCUCCUAAAAAGCCUCGGUCUUCUAAAAGAAAAUUGUCUCCCUCACCAUCCCCUAGGAGACAUAAAAAGGAGAAGAAGAAAGAUAAAAACAAAGAAAGAAGUAGGGAUGAAAGAGAACGAUCGACAAGCAAGAAGAAGAAAAGCAAAGGUAAGGAAAAGGACAGGGAAAGAAAAUCAGAGUAAUAAAGAUGUAAAACAGGUUACACAGGAUUAUAAUGAAGAGGAACAGGGGUAUGACAGUGAGAAAGAGAAAAAAGAAGAGAAGAAACAAACAGAAACAGGUUCCCCUAAAACAAAUGAAUGUUCUGUGGAAAAGGGAACUGGUGAUUCACUAAGAGAAUCCAAAGUGAAUGGGGAUGAUCAUCAUGAAGAAGACAUGGAUAUGAGUGACUGAGUACUGCCUCUCUUGGAAUCCAACUGUAUACCUGCAUCAGUGUCAUUCCUGUAAUUUCCUAAUGCUGUAUUUGUUCAUCUCAAAUCUAGAUGUAUACAGCUCUGAGUUAUAAAUGAUUAUAAAGCUCCUGUUACUGAUAUUAGUUAUUUACAUCAAAAAGGUUUUAGAAAAUGGUACAAGGUAACCAAUUCUUGUCAUGGUGAAAUCUGAUUGAGUAACCAAGCAGUUUUACUAUUCUGGUGCUGCUUCAUAACAAAAAUGAAAAGCUGCAUGUGUCUACAGCAGGCAUGGAUUGUUUAUGUCAUAUGAUCUCCUUUAUUAAGUAAGUUCACUUACAGUAUUUCUAUAAUUU